GACGAACGCUGGCGGCGUGCUUAACACAUGCAAGUCGAACGGAAAGGCCCUGCUUUUGUGGGGUGCUCGAGUGGCGAACGGGUGAGUAACACGUGAGUAACCUGCCCUUGACUUUGGGAUAACUUCAGGAAACUGGGGCUAAUACCGGAUAGGAGCUCCUGCUGCAUGGUGGGGGUUGGAAAGUUUCGGCGGUUGGGGAUGGACUCGCGGCUUAUCAGCUUGUUGGUGGGGUAGUGGCUUACCAAGGCUUUGACGGGUAGCCGGCCUGGGAGGGUGACCGGCCACAUUGGGACUCGGAUACGGCCCAUGCGCAUACGGGAGGCAGGAGUGGGGAAUAUUGCACAAUGGGCGGAAGCCUGAUGCAGCAACGCCGGGUGCGGGAUGACGGCCUUCGGGGUGUAAACCGAUUUCGCCUGUGACGAAGCGUGAGUGACGGUAAUGGGUAAAGAAGCACCGGCUAACUACGC
rnacentral:rRNA from 1 species